AUGCCCCCCCGCACACUCCGGUUCCGAGCGCACUGUCCGCCCCCCACCUGACGACUGCGCGCCAGGCUUUGCUGGCC
rnacentral:sRNA from 2 species